rnacentral:rRNA from 1 species
AACGAACGCUGGCGGCAGGCUUAACACAUGCAAGUCGAGCGCCCCGCAAGGGGAGCGGCAGACGGGUGAGUAACGCGUGGGAACGUACCUUUUGGUUCGGAACAACUCCGGGAAACUGGAGCUACUACCGGAUAAGCCCUAACGGGGAAAGAUUUAUCGCCGAAAGAUCGGCCCGCGUCUGAUUAGCUAGUUGGUGAGGUAACGGCUCACCAAGGCGACGAUCAGUAGCUGGUCUGAGAGGAUGAUCAGCCACACUGGGACUGAGACACGGCCCAGACUCCUACGGGAGGCAGCAGUGGGGAAUAUUGGACAAUGGGCGCAAGCCUGAUCCAGCCAUGCCGCGUGAGUGAUGAAGGCCUUAGGGUUGUAAAGCUCUUUUGUCCGGGAAGAUAAUGACGGUACCGGAAGAAUAAGCCCCGGCUAACUUCGUG